AUCCUUCUGCCUUAUCCUCUGGAGCCACUGGGAUUACAGAAUCUUUUCCCAAACAACCAACAUUUUAAUGGAAGAAAUUGAGUUCUGCAAUUGCUAAUGUGGAUUUUUCUCCUGUCCCAUUUUCUAAUAAGAAGGAAAAUUUCAAGCCUGGAAUUUUGCUUGGACCUCUGGACCCAUCUAUAUGCUGAUCACCCUGAGCUUCAUUAGACAUUCCAGUGAUGAGUGAAAUAUUCUUUAAAAAAAUUAAUUUGUUUUCAUUAGUUAUACAUGACAGUAGAAUGCAUUUAUGCACUU